rnacentral:lncRNA from 10 species
GAGCUCGGCGCGACCCUCGGGCCCACCGGGCCACGCUCGCCCGGCCCGCGACGCCCCCCCGCUGUCGCCUGGCCCGCGACGCACCGAGGCCUGAGGACCCGAAAGCCGGGCGCGGGGAGAUGACCGGUGGCUCGUGACGGUCCCACGGGCAAAAUCUUCCAUCGCCCGGGGCUGAGACUUGUCAAACUGCCCUCUACGGUCACCCGGAAAGUAGGAGGCUUUUUCUGCAGAGGGGAAAAAAAUCAAAAAGAGCCGUUCCAUCCCCCCUCCAAGGACUGGGUUUGAAUUGCUUUUCAUCUGCAGUGGCUGUGAUUCAGCGUCCCUCUUAGCAGCAGGCAAUGACAGAGGCAGGAGAGGGGAAAAAAAAAAAGAAAGAAAGAAAAAACACAGCAAAUGAAUCAAACGGACCAGGUAGCAGGCAAGAGUGUGGUUAUCGUUGGACCAGGAUUCAGGAUCUGACUGAGUAGCUGACUCUUAAUCCAGUUUGUGUUGAUCACCAGGAGGAUCUGGACCUCAGUAUUACCACAUCUAGAGCUAUAAUCACAUCCCUGUUAAGCCUUCCUGAGAUCACACCAAAUGUCCUUGAUGGGAAUUGUAAACAACCCUUACUUCUGGUUUCUAAUGAUAUUCCAGGAAAGGAGCCUAACUAGAGUCAGUGAUAUGCCAACUCCACCUUUGCCUUCCACCAUGUUUGGAAGCUCCCUGAGGCCUCACCAGGAGCAGAUGCUCGUCCCAUGCUUCCUAUAAGCCUGCAGAACUGGAAAAGAAAGCUGGAUAAAGUAUUUAUAGAAGAUAGAGGACCUGUGGUGGCUCAUGCCUGUAAUCCAAGGUGGAAGGAUUGCUUGAGGCCAGAAGUUCAAGACCAGUCCAAGCAACAUAGCAAGGCCCCAUCUCUACAAAAAAUGAAAAUAAAAUUAGCCGAGCGUGAUGGCUCAUGCCUGUAGUUCUAGCUUCUAGAGAGGCUGAGGCAGGAGGAUUGCUUGAGUCCAGGAGUUCAAGAUUACAGUGAGCUAUGGUCACACCACUGCACUCCAGCCUGGGUGAUGGAGUGAGACUGUCUCAAUAAAAAGACAAAAAGGUAAGCCCUUAGGUAAAGUAAGCUUGCUUCUUUGUUAGAGCUAUCCAUGCUGAGUCCAGGCAAAGAAAAUGCUUUCUUUGGCCUGGUGCGGUGGCUCAUGCCUGUAAUCCCAACACUUUUGGAGGCCAAGGUGGGCAGAUCACAAGGUCAAGAGUUCAAGAUGAGCCUGACCAACAUGGUGAAGCCCCAUCUCUACUAAAAAUACAAAAAUUAGCCAGGUGUGGUGGUGCGCACCUGUAAUCCCAGCUAUUCAGGAGGCUGAGGCAAGAGAAUCACUUGAACCCAGGAGGCAGAGGUUGCAGUGAGCUGAGAUUGCACCUUUGCACUCUCACUCUGGCCUGGGCAAUAGAGCAAGACUCCAUCUCAAAAAAAAAAAAAAAAGAAAAAAGAAAAUGCUUUCUUUGCACAGUUCAGUAAUGAGCUCUGCCCCGAACUCAGUAAUUUUAGCAAAGAAACAGUAGCUAAGUUAAGAAGACCGCCUAUUGAACUAAGUUGGUCUCCAAAAUGUACCUUUCUGGCAUUUAGAUGGCUACUUUGAAACCCUUUUGUAAAUGAAAUUUACAUCUAUAAAGGAAAUCGCCAUCUGUAAGGGCAUCUACACUGAGAAGAGGGUGGACUGGGUCACUAGAAACUCUUACCACUGAUCUAACAUAAAUCUUACCAUUGUUUAAGGUGCUUUUCCUUGCCAUCUUGUCUUAACCGGGCCUUUACCGACACUUUUCUUCCUUGGUUUAGGGAACCAGUGGUACAGUAUUUAGGCCCAAAGUCUCAGCUCUGUGCUUUUGAGAUAUGAAUUUUUCACCGUGUUCCACCUAAUAGCAUCCCUUUAGAAGUACAAAUUUAGGGCCGGGCGCGGUGGCUCACGCCUGUAAUCCCAGCACUUUGGGAGGCCGAG